rnacentral:tRNA from 1 species
GCGCCCGUAGCUCAGUCUGGAUAGAGCAGUGGCCUUCUAAGCCGAUGGUCGGGGGUUCGAAUCCCUCCGGGCGCG